CCUACGGGAGGCAGCAGUGAGGAAUAUUGGUCAAUGGGCGCGAGCCUGAACCAGCCAAGUAGCGUGAAGGAUGACUGCCCUACGGGUUGUAAACUUCUUUUAUAAAGGAAUAAAGUGAUGCACGUUUUCCUUUUUUUAUUUAUUUUAUUAAUAAUUAUCUUCUAACUCCUUUCCAUCAUCCUCUUUAAUACUGAUUAUCCGAUCUUUAUCCUUAUUUAUUUUUUUUAAAGUUAGAGUAGAUGGGUUGUUAAGUUAGUUGUGAAAGUUUGCGGCGCAACGGGAAAAGGUCAAGGGAUACUUUCAGCCGGGAGAACAGGGGAGGGAGGCGGAAGGCGGGGGGGAGCGGGGAAAGGCUUAGAGAGCACGAAGAACUCAGAUUGCGAAGGAAGCAGACUAAGCGGCCACGGACAGGGAGGCUCGAAAGGGGGGGUAGCAAACAGGAUUAGAGACCCGGGGAGGC
rnacentral:rRNA from 1 species